rnacentral:lncRNA from 7 species
AGAGUUUGUCCUCCAAAAAGGGAGAAGCAUUUGUGCCCAAGUUAAGCAGGAAUUGUCAUCAGUGCAGAAGUGGUCAUCUGGGGGACAGUGGAGGAGCUUCUUUCCUAGCAGGGAGUGCCAUGUUUCUUUGCUUUUGCUCCAGCUGAGGGAGGUCUCUAGCCAGUGCCAUCGUGCUGAAUGAAGAGCAGCAAACUCUAGCUGUGCUUCCUCUGGAAGUGACUGGAGAAGUUCUGGCUCCGAAUCCUACCAAAUAUCUGUCCGGGAUAUGAAGCUGUUUUUCCCAGAAGGUCUGUGCUGCGCCGAGUGCCAGACACUGGAGGAAGAAGAGAUCUAUAACCUGAAAUGUGACCCCAUAGUUAGUGUGGAAAUCAACAAGCAGUGCAAAAUCAUAAAACAUGAAACAGGAGGGCAACUUGAUUUGCCGGGCUCUGGGCAUCCCAUCAGAUCGGCCAGUGCUCAGUAACCUCAGCCAAACCACUUGCCUCAUCCUGCCCGCGAUAAUCCUCAGGGGUUCGGACCCACCUUAUGUUGAACUGCUUGAUCAGCUUAUUGGCCAAGGUUUCACGGUGACUGGAGUACGCCUCACUGUGCUGGAUGCACCACAAGCUCAUUGCAUCUCCGAGAUACUGAGCAGGGCCAAAUGUGGUGUGGCAGCAAAGGUACGAAGUCUGGAUUUGCACUUUGCUUCUUUCCCCAUGGAAGAAGAGUCAUUUGAUGCAGUGCUGUGCUAGCUCUGAGCAGACCAGCUUUGGUAGCAGUGUUAGCACCGCACUGCUAUCUGAUCUCUUAUGCACUAGUAAGUAAUUUGGGCAGUGUGCCUUGCCAGCUUCUCCCUGCUUUGUGUUCCUGUAUCUCCAUUAACUCACAGACACCUAAACUUGACAUCAUGAUGUGCAAACAUAACCUUACUGUGAAUGGUACAUCCCCUUCAGACAUUUUCUUCCAUUCACCUCACAGUGCACAGUUGCUGCUGUUAUGUAUGUUCUGCUGUUGUAUCUUGUCUUGUUCUUCCAGAUAAAUACAGUUUCUAUUUCCUUUUCUGUAAUCACACUCCAUUAAUCCUCCUCUACGAUGCUAAAUAACCCUUCCACUUUUUGGACGGUGCCCUGGAGUUCUGGGCAGAGAUUUAAUUCCAUCUCUC